GGUGAAGAACGCAGCGAAAUGCGAUAAGUAAUGUGAAUUGCAGAAUUCAGUGAAUCAUCGAAUCUUUGAACGCACCUUGCGCUCCUUGGUAUUCCAAAGAGCAUGCCUGUUUGAGUAUCAUUAAAUUAUCAACUGUACCAAUUUGGUUGCAGAUUGGAUGUGGGAGAUUUUGCAGGCUUUUGAUUUCUCUUUGAGAAAACGGUCAGCUCUCCUGAAAUAUAUUAGCAGUGCCUUUGUUGGUUCAUUAGGUGUGAUAAUUUAUCUACAUCUUCACAUGGUACCUUCAUUUGUGUAAAGGUCAUAUUGCUUCUAAUUGUCUUUGGACAUAAAAAAAAAAAAACAUAUAAUUGUAUGGAAAACUUGAUCUCAAAUCAGGCAGGACUACCCGCUGAACUUAAGCAUAUCAAUAAGCGGAGGA
rnacentral:misc_RNA from 1 species